rnacentral:rRNA from 1 species
UACGGAGGAUCCUAGUGUUAUCCGGAUUUAUUGGGUUUAAAGGGAGCGUAGGCGGGAGGUCAAGUCAGCUGUGAAAUGUAUCUGCUUAACGGGUACACUGCAGUUGAAACUGGUUUUCUUGAGUGCGUAAGAGGCAGGCGGAAUUCGUUGUGUAGCGGUGAAAUGCUUAGAUAUGACGAGGAACUCCUAUUGCGAAGGCAGCUUGCUGGGUCGUUACUGACGCUGAUGCUCGAAGGUGCGGGGAUCAAACAGGAUUAGAUACCCGGGUA